CCUAAUUCUGCCUUGUCUACGAGACCUAGAAAAUUGGAGAGGUUCCUGGCCCAGAAGAAAUAUAGGCCAACGCUGAGGGCCUCUGCCAAAAGCCAGAGGAGGCCGGCAUAGCAGGGCAGGUCAAGUGGGUCCUUUCCUCGGCAGGACUCCUGGGUCCUCUUCAACUUCUACCAUUUCAUCUCCAUACUCACCUCCGAGUCCCUUUCGAGGCUGAAGUUUGUUUCCAGGCUGAAGUUUGUUUCCAGGGUGACUGGAAUGUUUUCUGAUCUCCUGGCACACGCUUCCUCUAAUCUUUCGUGGAGUUUCAAUCCUUCCCUGCCUGUAGACGCAGUAAAUCUAUAAUCCAAAUCUUCUUCCCGCACCCUUACACACACAUACACCCUGCCACUGCCCAGAUAGAACCCAGAAAAUUUCUAAGCCCUCAACCAGAAAGUCAAUCUUUCCUUUUCUGAAUGAAGUUGAGGCUGGGGCUGCAGUCUCCUCUCCAUCGUCAUCCCUUAUUUCGUCACCCUGAAAGCCCAACUAAGAUUUUCAAUCUAGAAACAACUUUUUCCCCUCCAACCAUCCACUUUUCCCCUUUUGUGCGGUUUCUCACUCACCCCACCCCGCAUCCAGCGCAGAGCCAGGGCGAGAAAGGUCAAGACCACCAGCCAGGAACUUCAAGUUCAAUGGCAAAAGCCCCUCCCCCCCCAUUCCCGGCUGGGCCUCAUCUCCCUUCCCCCAUCUCUUAAGUCCGAAACUGACAUCUUUUAGUGGAAAACCUUCAAAAUUCCAGGAGGGGCCCCUUGCCCCAUCACUUCCGGGGCAAUUUAGAGAGAGAGCUAAUUGAAACAUUUUCUUAUCUUUCUUUCUCCCUCCCCUAGUUGACCCGGCCCCCCACGGCAGUCCUCACCUCCGCCGUAUUUCCACCUCGAGCCUGGAAGCUUGGGAAAGGAAGAUUGGAUGUUUUAAAUCGCUCUCUGCCUCUAGCCAAGCCACUAGGGGGAUGGGGUGGCGGAGUGGUGAGGAGGUCAGAGGUUGUCUGUCUGAGUACUGGACAUACUGGACCCGUUCCUAUUCUGAACCGGAAAGGAACUGAAUCAGCGCAGAGAAAACAGCACUGCGUGAAUUUUCGUUACUAUUUGAAGAUAUUCUUUGUCUACACAUUUAUCGCUAAGGUCACGUGCAGCUGUUGCCUCUUGGUGCGGGAGAAUCAUUUCUCUCAGCUCCGCGGAAUAACGGUGGCAAUCUUUCGGUUCGAAUUUCUGCAGUAAAAACACUUUCGAAGAUCUAGGGAAAUUCGCUUUCGUUCCCCCUUGUACACAAAGGUCACCACCUUUUGGAGAUCCUUUCCCGAACCCCAGAACCCUAAAGCCGAAAGCAAGCUGGAAGUCAAGGUGGCAGAAGAUUCAUCGACUGCCGUAGCGCAUUAUAGCCGAAUCUGACUUCAGGACUAGGAUUCCCUGGGUUCGGAUGGCUGAACACUAAACAAAUUCCCAGGCUUAGAUCCCCGCUACCCCCAAGUUAUGCUAACGGACUUGCCUCCUCUGAGCUUCGAAAAAGAGGGACCAAAACUCAAAAGACGGCGUCAUGGAAUAGAGUCUAUUUCAUCGGGUAAUAUUAAACGGGGUGUUCUACCGUAUUUCCAUUAAGAUCUAUCACACUCUGCUAUAAUGUACUGUUCUAUAGAGCUUGCAUUAUACUAUAGUUUCAUCGAGGGCUUCUACUGUAAGUAUAUAUCGCAUAUGCUAUAUAACAAUGACACCUUAAACAAAAGCGAGCCACAGAGGAGGGAGUGCCCUCCGUGGGAUCUUUGCUCUCCAAACAUCGGAUCUUACUUAGCCCUUGUCACUGAAAUGUCAGCUAGAUCUGGGGGUGGGGUGUAAAUGUGGAAGUCAAACGGAGGAAUCCCUAAGCUCCAGGAGAGAGAAGGACAAAGAAAGAUGAAUUCAAAAGUGAACUGAAGUCAGAUUUGGGUUCCUUUAGCCAUACUUCAGCCUCACUUUUUUUUUCCAAUUAAAAAAUUGGAAAUUUUGCCUCUGGAUACUUUAUAAAGAGAAGGACCUCCACUCACCUUAAAUCUCAGCCCAGAGGCCUCAGAGCCAUCAACCAUCGAAGGGGGAGGGCACUCAAUGGGCUGAUUUAUUAAUUUAUCUUCCCCCGCUUCCCCCCCCCCUUAGAGCACAUAGAAGCCCUAAAUUGGGGAGGAGGGUGGCUGCCCUCUCACCAAAACCCUCUGGAUUAGCAGCUUCUUUGUGCCUGGAAGAAAGGGAGUCUACACCAUGCUACACGCAUCCAGUUCAUUCAGGUCCCAUAUAGUCCCUAAUCCUCAACUUUCUGUCCAGACAACUGAGCAAAAGUGGGGUAUUAAGGUUUUGCUUUGAAGGCAGACAUGGCAGACAGGGGAAAUUGGACUGUCCAGAUUCUUUCUCUAGCUCCAUUUCGUUAUCGCCAGCCUACCAAAGCCCUGGAAGGAGAAGUGGGAGAACAGAGAGCUAACUAGCUUUGCCUCACACCAGUUUUCCAGGAAACCGAAGGAAGAAUUUGGAUAACUCAAGUCUGAGAACUCUUAAGGGUGCCUUUCUAUAUAAUCUGAAGGUGGAAAGGAUGUGCUAUUGAAGAUAACCCCCUUUUUCAUUGACUUCCGUUGCUGGAAGGCUAGCCUUCGCCUUGGAAAAAUAGGAACUGUCAUUGCAAUGUGGACACCCUGUCCCCAGUUCCUCUGCUUUCUCACUGUAGACAAGGCCUGAAGAGAGAUCCCAAUUUUCCAUCUGGACCUGAGUCUGAAGAGGAAGGCACCAUUGGGAUGGGUGUCUUCGGGAAUUUAUUAAUUUAUUAAUCAGGCUCGAUCCAUCAAAAGUGGUUUGUAAGGCACUCUAAGGAACUGCUAAACAGAGAAUAUGAGAAUGAUUAUAACCUUAACUAAUAUAAUCUCUGUCAUUGUUAUUCUUACUUUUC